rnacentral:rRNA from 1 species
CCUACGGGCGGCAGCAGUGGGGAAUAUUGGACAAUGGGCGAAAGCCUGAUCCAGCCAUGCCGCGUGUGUGAAGAAGGCCUUCGGGUUGUAAAGCACUUUCAGUGGGGAAGAAAGCCUUGAGGCUAAUACCCUCGAGGAAGGACAUCACCCACAGAAGAAGCACCGGCUAACUCCGUGCCAGCAGCCGCGGUAAUACGGAGGGUGCGAGCGUUAAUCGGAAUUACUGGGCGUAAAGCGCGCGUAGGCGGUCUGAUAAGCCGGUUGUGAAAGCCCCGGGCUCAACCUGGGAACGGCAUCCGGAACUGUCAGGCUAGAGUGCAGGAGAGGAAGGUAGAAUUCCCGGUGUAGCGGUGAAAUGCGUAGAGAUCGGGAGGAAUACCAGUGGCGAAGGCGGCCUUCUGGACUGACACUGACGCUGAGGUGCGAAAGCGUGGGUAGCAAACAGGAUUAGAUACCCCAGUAGUC